CCUACGGGUGGCAGCAGUCGAGAAUCAUUCACAAUGGGGGAAACCCUGAUGGUGCGACGCCGCGUGGGGGAAUGAAGGUUUUCUGAUUGUAAACCCCUGUCAUGUGGGAGCAAAUGAAAAUGACAGUACCACAAGAGGAAGAGACGGCUAACUCUGUGUCAGCAGCCGCGGUAAUACAGAGGGCGCAAGCGUUGUUCGGAAUGACUGGGCGGAAAGGGUGCGGAGGCGGUUUCGUAAGGCGAGUGUGAAAGGCGGGGGCUCAACCCGCGGACGGCACAUGAUACUGCGAAACUAGAGUAAGGGAGGGGGAAGCGGAAUUCUCGGUGUAGCAGUGAAAUGCGUAGAUAUCGGGAGGAACACUCGUGGCGAAGGCGGGUUACUGGACAUUAACUGACGCUGAGGCACGAAGGCGAGGGGAGCGAAAGGGAUUAGAUACCCCAGUAGUC
rnacentral:rRNA from 1 species